rnacentral:rRNA from 14 species
CCUGGCGGCCUUAGCGCGGUGGUCCCACCUGACCCCAUGCCGAACUCAGAAGUGAAACGCCGUAGCGCCGAUGGUAGUGUGGGGUCUCCCCAUGCGAGAGUAGGGAACUGCCAGAC